rnacentral:lncRNA from 1 species
GGGCAAUAUUUUAAUAAACUCUAGUAUCAUUUUAUAAUCUUUGCAAUGUGGGCAUUGUAUACUUGAUACAUAAAUCAUGUAUGUUGGGGUAUGUAACCACGAUUUAUGGCCCAGUCCUCCUUAUCAGAGGCUAAAUUAAUAGAUAACAGAAUUGCCUGUAUUUUAACAAUUGUAUAGGUCUUGUUCACUAAAUAUAAAUUUAACACCUGAUGGAGCUGUAACUGAAUUUUUUUCUCUUGAUUUGAGUUGAGUCUUUGACCGGUCUUCCUUCCAUUAGUGUAAAGAGUAACAACCUAAUCAAAAACAAUAGAAAAGGCGUGAGCCACUGCGCCUGGCCGAAGAGUUUCGUUUUGCCGUUAACAUUGGGCUGGGUAUGGUAGCUCAUUCCCUGUAAUCUCAGUACUUUGGUACUUUGGGAGGCUGAGAUGGGAUGGUCACUUGUGCUCAGAGUUUGACACCAGCCUGGAAAACAGCAAGAUGCCCAUCUCCACACACACACACACACACACACACACGCACGCACACACACGCACACAGAGAAUGUCACUGAAAUGGGCUUUGAAACUUAGUUACUUCACAUAAUAUCAGAAGGUCAGAUUUAGCAUGCAUGAUAUCAUUAUAAAGUGGUAUCUUUUCCUGUAUUUGAAAAAGAAGGUUUACCUGUGUUUAUACUUCCUACAUGUGUAUAGUUCAUUUCAUCUAUUUAUUUUUUGAGACAGGGUCUCACUCUGUCACCCAGGCUGGAGUGCAGUGGCAUGAACAUGGCUCAGUGUAGCCUUGAUCUCUUGGGCUCAAGGGAUCCCUGCCUCAGCCUCCAGUGUAGCUGGGACCACAGGUGGACACCACCAUGCCUGGCUGAUUUUUUUUAUUUUUUGUAG